rnacentral:rRNA from 1 species
GAUGAACGCUGGCGGCGUGCCUAAUACAUGCAAGUCGAGCGAACAGACGAGGAGCUUGCUCCUCUGACGUUAGCGGCGGACGGGUGAGUAACACGUGGAUAACCUACCUAUAAGACUGGGAUAACUUCGGGAAACCGGAGCUAAUACCGGAUAAUAUAUUGAACCGCAUGGUUCAAUAGUGAAAGACGGUUUUGCUGUCACUUAUAGAUGGAUCCGCGCCGCAUUAGCUAGUUGGUAAGGUAACGGCUUACCAAGGCAACGAUGCGUAGCCGACCUGAGAGGGUGAUCGGCCACACUGGAACUGAGACACGGACCAGACUCCUAAGGGAGGCAGCAGUAGGGAAUCUUCCGCAAUGGGCGAAAGCCUGACGGAGCAACGCCGCGUGAGUGAUGAAGGUCUUCGGAUCGUAAAACUCUGUUAUUAGGGAAGAACAAAUGUGUAAGUAACUAUGCACGUCUUGACGGUACCUAAUCAGAAAGCCACGGCUAACUACGUG